rnacentral:rRNA from 1 species
UUUUAUUGGUGCUACAGAGUAAGGAGCCAUCCCAUCAGUUAGUAAGUAAGGUAAGGGCCUACUUAGACUCAGACGGGUACGGGGAAUUAGGGUUUGAUUCCGGAGAGGGAGCAUGAGAGAUGGCUACCAGGUCCAAGGACAGCAGCAGGCGCGAAAAUUACCGAAGCCUUUUGGAGGGCGGUAGUAAGGAGACGUGAAUACGAUUUGUCGGUAAAAAAGACAAUGGAUACACGAGGACAAGACUGGUGCCAGCACCCGCGGUAAUACCAGCUCGUGGAGUGUCUAUGAUGAUUGCUGCAGUUAAAGCGUUCGUAGUCAGGUUUGUGGAGCGUUAGUACAGGCUGUGUAUUGAGCAGAGCGGUUUAUCGCGACCAACCGGAGUUAGGAGCGUCUAGGGCACAGGGUAUUAAGCGACGAGAGGUGAAAUUUGAUGACUCGCUUAGGAGCGACAGAGGCGAAAGCGCUGUGCAGGGGCGAGUCCGAUGAUAAAGGACGUAGGCUAGAGGAUCGAAGACGAUUAGAGACCGUUGUAGUUCUAGCAGUAAACGAUGCCGAUGCCGUGGUGUAGAGAUGCAACGCGGAAGAGAAAUCUAGUAGGGCCCUGGGGAGAGUACACGCGCAAGCGAGAAAUUUAAAGGAAAUUGACGGAAGAACACCACAAGGAGUGGAGUGUGCGGCUUAAUUUGACUCAACGCGGGACAGCUUACCAGACGCGACGACAGAAUGAGUGUAGUACACGAUAUGUCGGAGAGUGGUGCAUGGCCGUUAACGACGAGUGAGGUGACUUUUGGGUUAAGUCCGAGAAGUGGUGAGACCCCUGCUGUUAUGGACAGGUGCUCAAAGCACAGGAAGGAAGGGUCAAGAACAGGUCAGUGAUGCCCUUAGAUGGUCUGGGCUG